UCCCCAAACCACCAAUCCCUAGCUCUCUCUCCCGUCUGAUUUCCCCCAAAUCCCAUUCCGCUGCUCCUUCUCCAAUCACCAAACCCUAUCGAAGCCGCUGCUAUGGUAGACGGUGGCGGCAGGCGGAUGAGUGAGAGGAAGAGGCAGAGGGUAGUUUUCUAAUUGGGGUCUUGAGAGAGAGAUUUUGGGUUUCUAUCUGGGGGUUUGAUCAAUUGGGGGAUGGGGAUGGAGAAAGAGUCGGCGAAGAGGUGGAGAAGGGGGCGGCGACGCGGCAGCCGUGGAAGAGCGGCUGCGGCUGCAGCUGUUCAUGGCGAGAGAGGAGAUGGAGACAGAGAGAGUCGGGCGAGAUGUUGAGAGGGAGAGUCGGCAGAUGCAGAUGAUGGUGGGGGUGAAGAACCGCUGGCGAAGCGCCGCCGGUCAUGCUGGAGGUGGUCGGCGGCUUGGGAGAGAGAAGAGAGAUUUCUGAGAGAGAGAGAGAGAGAGAGAGACGCUGGAUGUGGUCAGCCCUAGCUCGAGUUCGAUUCAGUUCCUCUUAGCACUCAUGCUCCUUCGGAUUCAGCAUGCUGCUCCACUCUGACUUCAGCUCGUCGUCUCUCCGCAAUUCUAAUUAUUCACUUCCGAGGUAUUAUUUCAUCCUACUCAAUUUGUAAUUGUUGUUGAUUCCUGUUGUUUUUCGUGAUUCAUUAAUUCAUUGCUCAUCCUUGUUUUGAUUUAGCUUGAAGAAGAAAGAUUUUGCUUUUUGUUUGGAAUUUAUAUUCAGUGGAUGGUUGAAUGACUUCCUCCUUUGGUAUCUGAUGUUUGUUGUUUCAGGUUUUUGCAUUUUAAAUUGUGCAAAAAACUUCAUGUUAAAAAUUGAAUCAUUUUGCCAUUCCGUAUAUUAUUUUUCGGUUUUCUCCUUAAUUGAUUUUCUGCCAUUUAACGAUUUAUCAAAGACUAGGAUGCGUAACGUAGUUAACCAAAUACUCAUUAGUGUGGUUGUGAAUAUUGAAAUUGUGAGCAUUGAUGGGUUAAGAUUAUCUGGUAAUAGUAAGAGAUUAUCUUGAACAUACUUAUGUCAGAUAAGCCAUCAUUUAUUCUUUUGUUUUGUGGUUUAAGUUGGCCUUAGAGGUGUUAUAUCGAUUGACUAAGACUCGAAAACCUUUUGAUUUUAUGCAGAUUUAACUAUAAUUAUUGGAGCAGGUUUGGGACUUGGAGAUUUGAUAAUUUAUAAUUGUUUUUUGCUUAUUAAUGUUUCAUAUCCAACUGGCACUAGAAACCCAGUAACACCAUAUCUGAAUAUGCAGAGAAAGUUGCCAAGAAUGUUCUUGGAGAGUUACUUUAUUGCUACUUUAACUUAGUUAUGAAUGAAGAGACAUGUUUCAUAUGGCCCAAUGAAGAUUUUGUGUUCGUAUAUUUAGGCUUCACCUCUUCAGAUACGCUUUCUUAUUAGCGUCCUAUAUACUAUAUGUUCUUCGCUUUUCCUAUACUCUUCUGUUGCAGUGUGCUAGACAAGGGUUUGCACUUGGUCUUACAAUGUUAGUUGGCAUGAUUCAUAGCAUUAAAUUAGAGUCCUUGUUAAAGCUAAUUACAACUUUGCUGGAGGUCUCUUCUUCCAUGAAGGGGGUCAGGAGGUAAAAUAAUGCUUACUGGGCCGUUUAUUUGCAUAUGGAGCUCUUGCAAGAUCGGGAAUGCUUACUGAAGAAUGGUUCUCAGAUAAUAGUAGUGCACUCAUCAAAGAAUUUAACAAAUGUCUUAUUGAUCUUGCAGCUAAGAAACAGUACUUACAAGAGCCUGCUGUUGCUGUUUUAUUGGAGAUAGUGGGAAAGAUAAGCUCAAUUGCAACACAAGAGUAGCUCUAUACAAAUCAUGUUUUUCCGCAAGAGCAAUUCCUCUCAUGAUGGUGAGAGUGUCGAGCAGCAGCAUGAGCGCAAGGAGUCUACCUUCUGUCAGCCACGAGUACAUAGUGUAUGACCUGUUUUGGUUAGCCAUGCAAGAUGUUGAUUCAGCAUCAAGUCUAAUUUCGAGCAAGAAGCACAAAAGAAGCCGUAAGAGUACCCAUUCAAGUCAAAGUAUCACGAGGUAGCUCAGCUUUACAAGGACAAAGACUUGAGUUUUUUUUGGUUUGUGGUAGUUUUUUUGUCAUUUUUAUUUUCUUUUGACUUUAUAUAGAACUAUUGUACUUAGCAUUUUGAUUAUCUUCGGAUGAUAAUUUUAAUACAAUGUUUGGAUGAUUAAUUAUUUAUAUAAUAUAUGUUUCGAAUUGUAGUA